rnacentral:rRNA from 1 species
GAUGACCUCUGGCGGCGUGCUUAACACAUGCAAGUCGAACGAAGCACUUUGAUCGAUUUCUUCGGAUUGAAAUUUUAGUGACUGAGUGGCGGACGGGUGAGUAACGCGUGGGUAACCUGCCUCACACAGGGGGAUAACAGUUGGAAACGGCUGCUAAUACCGCAUAAGCGCACAAUACCGCAUGGUACAGUGUGAAAAACUCCGGUGGUGUGAGAUGGACCCGCGUCUGAUUAGCUAGUUGGCAGGGCAGCGGCCUACCAAGGCGACGAUCAGUAGCCGACCUGAGAGGGUGACCGGCCACAUUGGGACUGAGACACGGCCCAAACUCCUACGGGAGGCAGUAGUGGGGAAUAUUGCACAAUGGGGGAAACCCUGAUGCAGCGACGCCGCGUGAGCGAAGAAGUAUUUCGGUAUGUAAAGCUCUAUCAGCAGGGAAGAAGAAAUGACGGUACCUGACUAAGAAGCACCGGCUAAAUACGUGCCAGCAGCCGCGGUAAUACGUAAGGUGCAAGCGUUAUCCGGAUUUACUGGGUGUAAAGGGAGCGCAGGCGGAAGGCUAAGUCUGAUGUGAAAGCCCGGGGCUCAACCCCGGUACUGCAUUGGAAACUGGUCAUCUAGAGUGUCGGAGGGGUAAGUGGAAUUCCUAGUGUAGCGGUGAAAUGCGUAGAUAUUAGGAGGAACACCAGUGGCGAAGGCGGCUUACUGGACGAUAACUGACGCUGAGGCUCGAAAGCGUGGGGAGCAAACAGGAUUAGAUACCCUGGUAGUCCACGCCGUAAACGA